GAUGAACGCUGGCGGCGUGCUUAACACAUGCAAGUCGAACGAUGAAGCUGGAGCUUGCUCUGGUGGAUUAGUGGCGAACGGGUGAGUAACACGUGAGCAACCUGCCCCUGACUCUGGGAUAACAGCCGGAAACGGCUGCUAAUACCGGAUAUGCACCAUGAACGCAUGUUCUGUGGUGGGAAAGAUUUUUCGGUUGGGGAUGGUCUCGCGGCCUAUCAGCUUGUUGGUGAGGUAAUGGCUCACCAAGGCGUCGACGGGUAGCCGGCCUGAGAGGGUGACCGGCCACACUGGGACUGAGACACGGCCCAGACGCCUACGGGAGGCAGCAGUGGGGAAUAUUGCACAAUGGGCGAAAGCCUGAUGCAGCAACGCCGCGUGAGGGAUGACGGCCUUCGGGUUGUAAACCUCUUUUAGCAGGGAAGAAGCGAGAGUGACGGUACCUGCAGAAAAAGCGCCGGCUAACUACGUG
rnacentral:rRNA from 1 species